UACAGAGGGGGCAAGCGUUGUUCGGAAUUACUGGGCGUAAAGGGCGCGUAGGCGGCCGAUCAAGUCAGAUGUGAAAGUCCUGGGCUUAACCUGGGGACUGCAUUUGAUACUGAUUGGCUUGAAUUCGGGAGAGGAUAGCGGAAUUCCCAGUGUAGAGGUGAAAUUCGUAGAUAUUGGGAAGAACACCGGUGGCGAAGGCGGCUAUCUGGACGGUAACUGACGCUGAGACGCGAAAGCGUGGGGAGCAAACAGG
rnacentral:rRNA from 1 species